AUGUGGGAUCCUUGCAAAGGAUCAGGGUUCCAGAAGGGGGGAGGGGAGGAAAGAGGAAAGACAGCCUCCAGAAUCUGUGCCCAGCUGUGCCUGACACCAAGCUUACUCAGUAUCUGCUCUCUUGCAGCCAGCCCCACUGCCCCAUCCGUCUUCCCAUUGGCCCCCAGCGGUGGGGCCAGGUCCGCCUCCACUGUGUCCCUGGGCUGCCUGGUCAGCGGCUACUUCCCUGAACCAGUGACCGUGUCAUGGAACUCUGGAGCCUUGUCCAGCGGUGUGCACACCUUCCCAUCCGUCCUGAAGGCAGGCCUCUACUCCCUGAGCAGCUUGGUGACUGUGCCUUCCAGCACCUGGCCCAGACAGACCAUCACCUGCAAUGUAGCCCACCCACCCACCAACACCAAGGUGGACAAGACCAUUGUGCCCAGAUGUGAGAAACCACCAUGUCCUGUGUGCCCAGCUCCUUCACUCCCAGGGGGACCGUCUGUAUUCAUCUUCCCCCCAAAGCCCAAGGAUACACUCACCAUCGCCCUGACCCCCAAGAUCACCUGUGUGGUGGUAGAUGUGAGCCAGGAUGACCCUGAGGUCCAGUUCAACUGGUACAUGGACGAUGUGGAGUUGCACACAGCCCACAAGGAGUCAAGGGAAGUGCAGUACAACAGCACAAUCCGUGUGGUCAGUGUCCUCCCCAUCGUGCACAAGGACUGGCUGUCAGGAAAAAAGUUCAAGUGCAAGGUCAACAACAAAGCCCUCCCAGCCCCCAUUGAGAAAACCAUCUCCAAAGUCGAAGGGCAACCCCGAGAGCCACAAGUGUACACCUUGCCUCCACCUCAGGAAGAACUGAAAAACAGCAAAGUCAGUUUGACUUGCAUGGUCAUUGGCUUCUACCCACCAGACAUCUCUGUGGAGUGGGAGAGUAAAGGGAAGCUAGAGGAGAACUACAAGAACACCCAACCUGUCCUGGACUCUGACGGGACCUACUUCCUCUACAGCAAGCUCACAGUGGACAAGGACAGAUGGCAGACUGGAAACAGUUUCACCUGCUCUGUGAUGCACGAAACUUUACACAACCACAUCACUCAGAAGACCUUCUCUCCAUCUCCGGAGAUAGACCUGUACGAGACCUGUGCCGAGGCCCAGGACGGGGAGCUGGACGGACUAUGGACGACCAUCACCAUCUUCAUCACCCUCUUCCUGCUCAGUGUGUGCUACAGUGCCACUGUCACACUCUUCAAGGUGAAGUGGAUCUUCUCCUCGAUGAUGGAGCUAAAGCAGACAAUGGUCCCCGACUACAGGAACGUGAUUGGGCAGGGGGCCUAG